GGCAAGGAGCCGCCGGCCCUUGGAGCAGCUCCUCAGCAACUGUUGCUUUUCCUUGCCAGAGAAUCUCGCCCGAAGAAGCCGCUUUGAUCAAUGCACUUGGAUUCCAGCCUUCAGCCUUGAUCAAGGCGGGAGGAGGGACGAGGGAGAGCGAGCACUCGCGGGCUCUUUGGGGACGGCCGGGAAGCGAGGCUGCCGCUCCAAGGAAAGCUGCUUCAAACCAGUCUCCACUCCUGGCAUAUGCAGUAGGAGCAAAAGGGACUGUGGCAGGAGGAGGAAGAGGGAGGAAGAAGCUGAGGUCACCACCAUUUCAGGAGGUUGUGAAUUUUCCCUUCCUUCUCCUUUACCAUUCACCACAGACCCUGUAAAUCCUCUCUGGAGAGAAAACACCAGGGAGCAUGGCAUGGGGGGAUGAGAACCCUUGGUGGCUUUGAAAGAGAUGGCAGAGAGGAAAAACAGCCCAGCACUGGCAAAGGGGGGAAAAUGGACUGAGAGAAAGAAGCUGAAAAUGUGCUGAAACAGCUGAUGACAGCCCAAACAGCAGGAGAAGGCUCCUGCCUGCCAAUUAACGAGGCUCUAGUGCUAAUUUGCCACCUUGACUGCACUUCUGAGCUUGGCAGGAGAAGGGGGAGGAAAAACAAAAAGAUGAGGCUAAAAAGGAGCCAGUGAGG
rnacentral:lncRNA from 1 species